rnacentral:rRNA from 1 species
UACGUAGGGUGCGAGCGUUAAUCGGAAUUACUGGGCGUAAAGCGUGCGCAGGCGGUUUUGUAAGCCAGAUGUGAAAUCCCCAAGCUUAACUUGGGAACUGCAUCCGAUACUGGAUGGCUUGAAUCCGGGAGAGGGAUGCAGAAUUCCAGGUGUAGCGGUGAAAUGCGUAGAUAUCUGGAGGAAUACCGGUGGCGAAGGCGGCAUCCUGGACCGGCAUUGACGCUGAGGAGCGAAAGCUAGGGGAGCAAACGGG